GGAAGUCGGCAAGCCGGAUCCAUAACUUUGGGAUAAGGAUUGGCUCUAAGGGCUGGGUCGUUCGGGCUGGGGCGCGAAGCGGGGCUGGGCACAAGCCGCGGCUGGACAAGGCGCCUACCCCCCCUCCCGGGGGGGUGGCGGCGACUCUGGAUGCGAGCCGGGCCCUUCCUGUGGAUCGCCCCAGCUGCGGUGGGCGUCGCCCGCCCCUCCUCCUCCGCGGGGACAGGUGGGGCCGGCGUUCUGCCUCAGCCGGCACCUAGCAGCUGACUUAGAACUGGCGCAGACCAGGGGAAUCCAACUAUUUAAUUAAAACAAAGCAUCGCGAAGGCCCGCGGUGGGUGUUGACGCGAUGUGAUUUCUGCCCAGUGCUCUCAAUGUCAAAGUGAAUAAAUUCAAUGAAGUGCAGGCAAACAGCGGGAGUAACUAUGACUCUCUUAAGGAGGCGCCUCCUUUAAGGGCAAUGGUCUGGUUACACAGUC
rfam:Alligator mississippiensis ScZkoYb_6, whole genome shotgun sequence.